GGGCGGUGGCCUAGUGACUUCGAGUCAGCGCUCCGAAGCUACCCGGUAGCCGCCCAAGCCCCCGGGAGUGGAGCCGCGAGGCUCCACCUAGGCUUGGGGGAAGGGCACACCGUUGCAUUCCCUUCCGCCUCGAAUCCGAGGGCGCGCCCGCCCGAGGGCGAGUUCACGCUCUCAGCUGGUUUUAGCGGCUCCCCCGGGGUCUCCGGAGUCUGGCGGGAGGGUCCCGCGCCUGCACGUGGAGGAAUGCUCCCGAGCCUACGUGCUUACGCAGGGCGGGCAUGGGGUGGGAUGGGGGGUGACCUAGCGGCUGUUCUGCCGCGGAUCUCGGGGUCCGCAGGGUCUGAGCACCGGGCGGGCGGCGCGCUUCAGUUUGACUAAAAGGCGCAGGACUUGCAGGUUAUUGGAUGUUGUUCAUAAUUACAUGUAUGAAGACUGUAAAUGUAAUAUAUAAAGUUACAUAUAAUCAUGCAUUAUGUGGACAUUGCGUAAUUGUAUUGAUAGAAACGUUGUAUGUUUCGGUCGUGCCCCACUGUCCGUGACCCCAUUUGCCGUUCUCUUGGCAAAGAGGUCAGCGUGGUUGCCCUUGUCCCGCUCCGGCCCAUCCGACCGGGGGUGGGGAAAUUGAGGCAGACAGAAGUGACCCGCUUGGUGUCACUCAGAUAGUGAGUGUCUGAGGAACCCGAGCGCUGCCUCCCGACCCGGCGCCCCUCCGCCGGGCUGCCCGAAUAGUGCGUCAAUAUGUGUGCAACAACUUCAGUGUCCAACGCAGUUCCGUCAGCGAGAGCAUUCUUACUAUCAAUGCUGCAAAGAAGAACAGAUGGGAGUCCUUCAGGGGAUCUAUGGUUCACACUAACCAGGACCUAUCCAUUUUGCCGUGCUAGAAGAGAUCUUGGAGAUGUUAACUACCUUUGGCCAUCCGGUGAAACACAGAACCUCUUCUCAAAAUUACGUUUUCCCUGUAUGAACUUGGAGGUAUUUCACGGGCUGGGCUCAUAUGCUGAACUCCCUGAGAUCUGAAGACAAAAACCACCAGAGAUCCGGCUGUGAUAAAUCUGUGCUAUGAGGUCAAUAAAAGCAGUUUCCAGGAGUGGUAUGUUCAUAAUUAGUAAUGCAUGACCCUAGAAGUCUAGACUUCAUCGUCCCCAGGGUUCUCCCCACCCACAUCCUGUUUUCAUUUCUCGUGGAUAUGACGACAGAGUCACUUUGGAAGGGUGCUAGGUUAUGCAUGUGGGAGUCAUCUUGACGUGUCAUAAAAUAUUGAUGUUUCCUAGAGAAUUCAACAAGAUCACAAUUUUCAGCAGACUUAGUAUUGCCAUUCUGACUUAAGGCCAAUUCAAUACGAUAGGGCUAUGAGCCAUGGGAGGUUUUUGGUAGGAUUUAUUAACCACCCUGUUCCAAGGGAAAGAUUCGCCAAUGAGGGAAAAAAGAUAGUGUGGAAGAAGUCUGGAAUAAUACAAAUAGAGUGACUAAAAAAUAGUAAAUGUCAGAGAACAUUUGAACUCCCAUCAAUUCUUUCCAUCAGGUGACUUGGGAUUGUCUUGAAUCACUAAACUGAGAAGAGCUUAGUCAGCCCUUCACUCUUCAAUUCUCAGCCAACUCGAAAAGAGCUACUUAUGAAUGUUUCUGAACCUGUACGGCCUUUUCCCUCUUUUAUGAUUUUCUUGGGACACAGACCCAGUAAGGGCACAGCUGGUCAAAAAUACGGAGUUUUAUGAUACUUUGGGCAUAAUUCCAAAUUCUUCUUCAGAAUGACUGGAUCAGUUCACAACUGCGCCAACAGAGCCUUAGUGUCCCAAUUUUCUCACACUUUCCCCAAUAUUUAUCAUGUUGUUUCUCUGUCACAUCAGCCAAUCUGAUAGGUGUGAGGUAGUACCUCAGUUAUUUUGAUUUGCAUUAGAGUACUUUUUGAUAUGACAGUAGGUAGCUUCUAUUUCUUCAUCUGAAAAGUUCCUGUUCCUAUUUUUUGACCAUUUGUCCAUUGGGGAAUGACUUGUAUUGAUUCAAUUCCCUAUAUAUUUAUGAAGUGAGGUCUUUAUCAGAGACACUUGCUAUAAAAAUGGUUCCUUAGCUCUCUUCUUCUAACUUUAGUUACUUUGGUUUUGUUUGUAUAAAAUCUUUUUAAUUUAAUGUAAUCAGAAUUAUCCAUUUUAUAUCUCACAUGUUCUCUGUAGCUUGUUUGGUUAUAAAUCCUUACCUUUUCCAAAGAUCUGACAAGUAAACAAAUCCUUGCUCUACUAA